CACCGCGGUUAUACGAGAGGCCCUAGUUGAUAAGCACGGCGUAAAAGAGUGGUUAUGGAGUGUACCCGACUAAAGCCGAAGACCCCCUAGGCUGUCAUACGCAUCUGGGGGCACGAAGCCCUAUCACGAAAGUAGCUUUACUCAAGCCCGCCCGACCCCACGACAGCUGAGAUA
rnacentral:rRNA from 1 species